rnacentral:rRNA from 4 species
CCCUAGUUGCGACUUUAAACGAUGCCAACUGGCGGUUCGGCGAAGUCUCUCUGACGACUCGCUGAGCAGCCCCCGGGAAACCAAAGUCUUUCGGUUCCGGGGGAAGUACGGUUGCAAAGCUGAAACUUAAAGGAAUUGACGGAAGGGCACCACCAGGAGUGGAGCAUGCGGCUUAAUUUGACUCAACGCGGGAAAGUUCACCCGUCCCGGACACUGUCAGGAUUGACAGAUCAAGAGCUCUUUCUUGAUUCAGUGGAUAGUGGUGCAUGGCCGUUCUUAGUUGGUGG